ACACGUGUGGUGUAGCGGUAGCUAUUCUUGGCUUUUGCUUGAGAGGUCAUGGGUUCAAAUCCCCUUAAGGACA
rnacentral:tRNA from 7 species